rnacentral:misc_RNA from 1 species
UUCAAAAUUACAAAGUCUUGAGUUUAAAUAAAAAAUAAAUAAAAUAUAAAACUAAGACAAUUUUGUGUCUUACAUACAAGUUGGUAUUUACUUUAUUAUGUUGUUUGCAAAUGUUCAUUAUACAAUUCAAAUAGGUGUAUUCUUUUAUUCCCCAUCUUAGGCAUGUUCUUGAUCCCAAUUAAUACAAAAUUUUCAUGCCCAAUAUUAAGCUCCCCUUCUCAGUCAAGUAAGGCUGAACAAAGUUCUCAAAAAAAAUGUUGUGGAUAAUUGGAACCUAUAAUUCAAGCUAUAAGAAGCUAAAAAAAGAAAAUGUGGGGAAAUUACAAGAACAACACAUAAAAUUUAUGAAGACAAAAAAAAAAAAAAUGGGGCACCCGUCCCCU